rnacentral:lncRNA from 1 species
AACCUCUUUAUUCUCUUUUUUUUUUGUGGUUCAUCGGGAUGCCCUUUUUUUUGCCCGGACUAUUCUUUUUAUCGUCCAGCGGGUCUAUUUUAUGCGAAGUAUUUUUUUUUAACUGCGUCUGAGUUAAUAGGGGACGGGAAUCCUUCGCCAUCCAUGGUUGUUAGCAUCAAAGCUCCGCCAUAGAAAAUCCUUUUAACCACGUACGGACCCUCAUAGUUCGGUGUCCAUUUGCCCCUGUGAUCUGUGUUGGGAGGAAG